AAUGUAAUGACCGUGUAAGGUCUCGGUUGGUGACCAGCGGGAGGGAUCAUUACCGAGUUUACACCUCCCAAACCCCUGUGAACAUACCUAUAGGGCCUCGGCGGAUCAGCCCGCGCCCCGUAAAACGGGAUGGCCCGCCCGAGGACCCCUAAACUCUGUUUUUAGUGGAACUUCUGAGUAAAACAAACAAAUAAAUCAAAACUUUCAACAACGGAUCUCUUGGUUCUGGCAUCGAUGAAGAACGCAGCAAAAUGCGAUAAGUAAUGUGAAUUGCAGAAUUCAGUGAAUCAUCGAAUCUUUGAACGCACAUUGCGCCCGCCAGUAUUCUGGCGGGCAUGCCUGUUCGAGCGUCAUUUCAACCCUCAAGCUCAGCUUGGUGUUGGGACUCGCGGUAACCCGCGUUCCCCAAAUCGAUUGGCGGUCACGUCGAGCUUCCAUAGCGUAGUAAUCAUACACCUCGUUACUGGUAAUCGUCGCGGCCACGCCGUUAAACCCCAACUUCUGAAUGUUGACCUCGGAUCAGGUAGGAAUACCCGCUGAACUUAAGCAUAUCAAUAAGCGGAGGAA
rnacentral:rRNA from 1 species